AUGAGGAGAGAGGGAUAUUCACGAUUGAGAACAAAAAAAGUCAGAAAAAAUCAGGAUACUCACCUCUCAACCUCAUUCUCUCGGCAAGCUCCAUCUCCCAUCAUCAUCUUCGACCUCACUCUCAAUCUCCAUUCUCUUUCUACAAAUCUCCAUCUUUGUUUCACCUCUCUGCAAAUCCAACAAUCUUCAUCUUCACCAUCAUCAUCUUAG